ACAUCAUCGAAUUUUCAGAAUUCUUUCUCUCUCAUCCUCCAAUUUUCUCUCUCCUCUCGUACAUCCUCUGCUAUGGGUAUUCAUCUUCUUCAACUUCUUUGAUUCUCCUUCCAUAUCCCUUGAGCUUCUUUGUGGAUCUUCCAAUUCUCCAGGUAGGUCCUCUGUGUUAACGAGAUUUCUUGGUUGAUGGUAUCUGAAGAGUGUUUAAGCUCUUGAGUGUUGCAGUAUAUCAGUUUGUAGAACGGUCGAAAUUUGAUAUUUCUUGCCGAAAGGAUAACUCUAAAUUCUAAACAGUUAAAUACAUACCUCCAAACCAGACCACUGAAUCUUCACACAGGCUUCAUAGAUAUGCUCUUUCUUGGUCCAUCUCUGAUCUUUUGUCUGACAAUUCAUCUCCAAUUCUUUAAUCUUAACCAUUGAAUCUUCCAAAAACUGCUCUUGUUUCCUUAACAUUUUCUCCAAGUCAGAUUUUACCGAUUUGGCCUCACUUUCCAGCUGCAAACUAUGUAGUUCAUUCGUCUUUUUUGCCAUUUCCAGCUCCUGUUUCAGUGUUGAAACCUCAACAAGGUCUUCUGUCUUAACCUUUGAUUCUUCUAGAAGUUUCUCUUGCUCCAUUAACCUCUUUUUGUUGGAUAUCUUGUUUUUGUACCUGGUUGUGCCAGUUAGUGAAAUGAUGCUGCAGUUGACAAAUAGGUAAAUUCUAGCAGUAGAUGCAGUUGGUUACUUUGUCCUGCCACUGGUGGUGCUAUGAAGCCUACAAGUGACGGCAGGUGGGCUCACAUUGUGUGUGAUGUUUUAGUCCCAGAGGUUUUAUUUGAGGAUCCGGAAGGCCGGGAUGGGAUCGAUUGCUCGAAGAUCCCUAAGAGGAAGUGGAGGGAUAGGUGUUAGUUGUGUAAAGGAAUCAAUGGGUGUGCUGUUCAGUGUUCUGAGUUUAAGUGUCCUUUGGCAUUUCAUGAGACAGUUGUGGUUUAAAGAAGGGAAAUUGAUUGUUACUGGGUUCUGCAAAAAACACAUUGAACUCUGGAAAAAGCAAAAACAAACAGAGAAGUUCAAGAUUGCCGCCAGGGAUGAGGACCUGAAGUUCUGAAAUUUUGGAAUUGGUUGAAAGUUGCUGCAUUCUGAGUUUAGCAAACACAACAGCAUUUUUUUUUGUUUUGGAUUAUGGGUAUUAGGGAUCUGAAAAGGGCAUGUCGACAAAAGAAUUGGCAUAGAAUUUGGCUACAAGUGAAGGUGAAAUCUUGGUUACCUAUAUUCUUGCUGUAAUUGUGUUGGUACCAACAUGUAAGUUAUGCCAAUUAGCUCAAUUGGUAGAGCUUUGUGCGUUUGCACAAUGAUGUAGGUUCGAAUCCUACAUAGGCAACUCUUUGUAUUUUUGUUCAUUAUAUUAGUUCUCCUACUUGAUUAUUCUUUA